GAUGAACGCUAGCGGCAGGCCUAACACAUGCAAGUCGAACGAAGCCUUCGGGCUUAGUGGCGGACGGGUGAGUAACACGUGGGAACGUACCUUUUGGUUCGGAAUAACGCAGAGAAAUUUGCGCUAAUACCGAAUGAGCCCUUCGGGGGAAAGAUUUAUCGCCGAAAGAUCGGCCCGCGUUGGAUUAGGUAGUUGGUGUGGUAAAGGCGCACCAAGCCUACGAUCCAUAGCUGGUCCGAGAGGAUGAUCAGCCACACUGGGACUGAGACACGGCCCAGACUCCUACGGGAGGCAGCAGUGGGGAAUCUUGCGCAAUGGGCGAAAGCCUGACGCAGCCAUGCCGCGUGAAUGAUGAAGGUCUUAGGAUUGUAAAAUUCUUUUACCAGGGACGAUAAUGACGGUACCUGGAGAAAAAGCCCCGGCUAACUUCGUGCCAGCCGCCGCUGUAAAAC
rnacentral:rRNA from 1 species